AGAGCCUCACACUUGCUGCCUCCUCUGCCUGGAACUCUCUCCCUCUGCUCUCACAGGGUUCCCUAAGUGUCGCUUCCUCCAAGAAGCCCUCCCUGAUGAGUUGAGCCACUUUAGUUUGUGCUCAGGCUCACCCUGCACGUCUUGGUUGCUCUCAUCACUGUAAUGAUCUAAAACACACGUCUGCUCAUGAGACCCGCAUCCCACCCCCGAUGCUGGGGCCGCUCUUGGAUUUUCAUGCCUGCUGCCAGCACCCAGGGGGAGCUCCGGAAAUGUCUGCUGGGGGCUCGGAAUACCCACCUUUCUGGUAAUGCAGCCCAGCGGGUCCCAGCCUCGUUUUCCAGCCCUCACUCAAAAUGGAGUCGCUCUGGUUCGAACGCCUCUGACAAGUGUGUACCUACGUGUCAGGCCCAUCCUUCCUGCAGGCCUUUGUCUUGGUGUCACCCUGCCUGAGCUGGCCCCAACCACAGUAGCAACAGUGAUGCUGAUGUGUGACUGCUGCCAGGAGCCUGCUCACAUGACCGUGUGGAGAAAGUUCUUUCCCUGAGGACCAUCUGGAGUGGACGCGUGCACUACCCCUCUCUGAAUACACCCUCCCCACGAGGCCCUCUGGAGCAUCCUGUAGAGCCAGCCCCUACCCAGAGACCCUGAGCCCAGAGAAUGCGCUGGGUGGUGAGCCUGGGGACGAAUGCAGAGCCCUAGGUCUCCUCUCCAGAAGUUGGAGUGCCAUGGUGUGGUCAUAGCCCACUGAAGCCUCAAACCUCUGGGCUGAAGCCAUCCUUCCGCCUCAGCCUCCCAAGUAGCUGGGACCAUAGGUGCAUGGCACUGUGCCUGGCACUGUCUGAAUGCAUACAGCUGGGCUUCUCAGAGCGUUUGCAGAUGUGGACAGUUGGUCUCCAGCCUAGGAAAGGAGUUUGCACAAUUUCCCAAACGGAUUUUAUGAACUGAUUUUGGUUUGGCUGCUAGGAGGUCCUAUCUGCAGUGGGGGCUGCUGGACCUGGGAGGCUGGGGUGCUGAGGCUCCUCUGCACACUCCACUUUGGGUGACAUUGUUCUAGAACCUCCAGGUCCAGCUUCCAGAGGACCAUGAGUGGGUAUGAUAAGGUUUGAAGUGGGGCCGGGCAUGGUGGCUCACGCCUGUAACCCCAGCACUUUGGGAGGCCGAGGCGGGCAGACUGCCUGAGCUUAGAAGUUCAAGACCAGCCUGGGCAACACAGUGAAAUCCCGUCUCUACUAAAAUACAAAAAAUUAGCUGGGCAUGGUCACGUGCUCCUGUAGUCCCAGCUACUUGGGAGGGUGAGGCAGGAGAAUUGCUUGAAUCCGGGAGGUAGAGGUUGCAGUGAGCCGAGAUCAUGCCACUGCACUCCAGCCUGGGCGACAGAGCAAGACUCCAUCUCAAAAAAAGAAAAGAAAAGAAAACGAAAGAAAAAAGAUAAGCGUAGCAUCGUGGUAAGAACACCCGCCCUGACAUCACACAGACCUGCAUCCACGUCCCAGCUGAGCCUCAGUUCUCACAUCUGCAAAAUGGGGAGAACAACAGCAGCAGCGUCCUGAGGCUGGGGUGAGGACCGAGUGAAAAACCUUUGUCGCAUCUUUGGGCAUCGCAGGAGUUCAAUAAAUGUUAGCUAUCGUUGUCA
rnacentral:lncRNA from 1 species